GUCAGGAGUGGCACCACGCUCAUAAACACCACAGGUCCUCCAUUCCCAAGGAAUCCGCGGGGAACGCUGCGGACACACUCUGCUAGCAGGCUGAAAAAGACACAUUCAAAAGAUUAAAAGGGAAGAAACAGAUUUCACAUCUGAACAUGCAUGGUCAUCACCACCACCACCAUCAUCAUGGCUACAAUAUGGGUUUCCAGCCAGGAGGCUAUGUGGCACCCGGAGCCUACGUCUCUCCUGGAGCCUACGUCUCUCCUGGAGCCUACGUCUCACCCGGAGCCUACGUCUCUCCUGGAAUAGGAGGGGCUCUCCCAGGGGGCGUCGUGCUACCAGCUUAUGCUCCUUCCCCAUACCAAGCAGUCGGUCUUCCAGCCAUUGGCCUUCCAUGGGGACAUAGGCACCAUCACGGCCUUGGUCUGGGCAACCUUCUUGGCCUUGGUUUCGGUCAUCAUCACCAUCACGGUCAUCAUCACUGAUCCACUGAGCCUCUUACUCAUAGAGAUUUAUAGGGCUGCUACCAUAUUAUGAUAAUGAUAUUGCCGUUAUUAUCAGCUAAACAUUAUUAUUUCAUAUUUUGGACUUUCUCUGCUGGCCUCAGGAGGUUGGGCUCUCCCUUGGAGUUUGGUUCCUCCCAAGAUUUCGUCCUACUGGGGAGUUUUUCUCUGCCACUAUCGCCUCUGACUUGCUAUCUUGGGGCUUUUGGGGUAUGUAAACCACUUUGAGACAUAGUGUCACAAUGCUGUGUAUAAAAAUAAAUUGAAUUUAAUUAAACGUAAUAUCUGGGGUUCAGUUGUGAAGAUGAAAAUGAAAAUGUGUUAUUCCAACUUUGCUUAAUGUGUCCUCGUCAAACAAAAGGAAUAGCUUUAUACAACUUGAUCUAUUCUUAAAUGUUUUAUUGUUUGACAGAAUAAAGAGAAUUUGAAAGAAACAUGAAACUGAA